ensembl:snRNA U6 U6 spliceosomal RNA
GUGCUCGCUUCGGCAGCAUGCAUACUAAAAUUGGAACGAUACAGAGAAGAUUAGGGCCCCUGUGCAAGGAUGACAUGCAAAUUUGUGAAGCGUUCCAUAUUUAA